AAAAAAAAAAUUCACAUGGCAAAUUGCAUGAGUGGGACACCUCACUAAGCCUUACCUACUUUUUGUUAUUUACUAUUUACUCUCACCACUCCAAAUCUUCAAGCCCUAUCCAGAGUCAGGUCACACUCAGAAGACACCUCAAAAAACCAGGCUACCUCUCCCUUCUUUGAAACUCAGUUUUGGAAUCUUUUUGGUAUUUAUUUGGGUUUCCAACCUUCCAGUAACACUUUCUAACACCUAAACAUAACUCUGGAGUUUGGCUUUUGAUGACAUCUUCUCUUCCCCUAUGUUCUAAGCAACUUUCUUUUAUUUAAGAGUCUCCUCUAUUUCCCUCCAACUUUUCAUUCCUGGUCCUCUCUUUCCCUAAUUUUCUCUCUCCAAGGCCAGAGAUUGAAGAGGAAAUUCCCAUCAAGUUUAGAAAAUGUGAAAUGUGGUCAGGCUGGGGGAAGGAGAAAGGGAAGAAAUCACAUCUUUAUGAUUCCUUUAUUUUAUCUCCACACACAUAAAUUCAGCACUUGGUAAGUAAUUCCCUACCCUGUCCUGGUCUGUAAUUUCUCAACCUUCUUUGAAUCCCCUUUGAACAAUAUAAGUAUUUCCUUCCAUGACCCACCCCAAUUUUAUUCAAAACUUCAAAAUAAAUGGGACAUCAUGACUAAAAACAUAUUAAAACUAUGGUCACCUGCUGGACCCAACCCACAGAUUCUGGCCAAACGAUGGAUGAAAGAACACACUCAAACACAGUUAUCCAGUGAAAGAGUGGGCUAGUGGACCAGGCCAUGCACAGACCCCGAGGAGGGUGCUGUAAAGAGUCAGAAGCCACAGCCCUGACCAGCUGGCACUGCAGGCCUUUAUUUAGAACAGAUUUAAUGACAGAGGCUUUGAG
rnacentral:lncRNA from 10 species